CCUACGGGGGGCAGCAGUGAGGAAUAUUGGUCAAUGGCCGGAAGGCUGAACCAGCCAUGCCGCGUGAAGGUCAGUGCCCUAUGGGCGUUAAACUUCUUUUGUGCGGGAGCAAUAAUGGUCACGUGUGGCCAGACGAGAGUACCGUACGAAUAAGCAUCUGCUAACUCCGUGCCAGCAGCCGCGGUAAUACGGGGGAUGCAAGCGUUAUCCGGAUUUAUUGGGUUUAAAGGGUGCGUAGGCUGUGAGGUAAGUCAGCGGGGAAAUGCCCCCGCUCAACGGGGUGAAGUGCCAUUGAUACUGCCUUGCUGGAAUGCGGAUGCCGUAGGAGGAAUGUGUGGUGUAGCGGUGAAAUGCAUAGAUAUCACACAGAACACCGAUUGCGAAGGCAUCUCACGAAUCCGCGAUUGACGCUGAUGCACGAAAGCGUGGGUAUCAAACAGGAUUAGAUACCCCAGUAGUC
rnacentral:rRNA from 1 species